AAAAAAAAAAAAGAAAGUGACACUGUAUACUCACACAAUGCGUGGUUGUGUUCUGAUGUGUGCAUACGUGCGUGCAUGUGCCUGCGUGUGUGACAGGGGUGCAGGAAAGAUAGGGACGCAGGAAGGAUGGGGACGCAGGAAGGACAGGGACGCAGGAAGACAAGGAAAGUGUCUCUGAGCUCAUCUGAAGACACCACUCAUAAGACACAAAUUCCAUUUUCUCCAGUCUUUCUUUCUUCCGGACAAUGAAGACCGUGGUCAUGCCCCUUCGUCCUGUCUUGCAGAUAAUCAGGCAAAUGCAUCAAGAAUCGCUUGGGUCUUACAACAGAAGUUGGUGGUAAAGUAGUUAAAACAAACUUAUUUACCACAUUAAUUAAAUGGUCUAUUUAACACGGAAUAUCAAUUCUCUAAUCACAUCUCAGUUGAACUUCUCCUUUUAAUUAACAACUCUGAAGUCUACUGACAGAGGUCCUACUGUUCUAGGAGCAUUAAGAGCAUUUUCAUUAUCUGGCAAAUGAGGGGUAAGAGGCAGAAAAGCAAAGCACGCUCAGGAGCGGCCUCUCCCCUACUUAAGAGAUGAUUAGGGAGUGAGGCGCGGCAGCUCUCAUUAGUUGCUUAGCAAUGAGACAACCUCCUAUGAAAUCAUAAAGGGAAACAAAGUCUCAGAGGGGUUGCAAUAAAAUUCACUCCAUGGAUAUGUCCUCAUCCUCGGAGGAUAAUCUGUCCUCCGGUAAAGCUCAUCUCUCCAGAUUACACCAAGGAUGGGAAUCUGAAGCCGACCACAAACUGGAAACGCUAAAAACACCAUGUAAUAAAAACAGGCAAGCGCCCAGUCCAGAAGGCUUGCAGGAAGACAAAACCGGGUUUAAAUUAAAAUGCUUAACACACGGCAAGUCCACCGAAGUUCACGUUUAAGUUUGCGGGAAAUCUUACCUAUGUAUUCACAAAUGAAGACCACAAAGAAAGGAGUGACGAGGUCAUUUAUCCCCUGGACGUAUCCACUGGCGGGGUGGCGGAUCGCCCAUAUGAACAAGAUCCUUUCGAAAAUCUGAAAGAAAAUGGAACAGGUGGUAAAGCACGAAGUAAACAUGGCAGAAACUUUAAAA